rnacentral:lncRNA from 1 species
UCUGUCUGAAAAAAAAAAAAAAAGAGAGUUGAAAUUGAAAAAAAAUAGACUGCUGGCAAGAAAACUAAACCAUGUUUAUAAAACUUCCAUUUAAAUGCUCACUAAAAUGGACAAAGAAAAACAAUACUAGGGAAGAAAAUAACGUAGACAUGAAAUUUAAAAAGGCCCCAAAUUCAUGGUACAAACACUGAAAAGCACUCAGUCAAACUGAAACUGGAAGAGGAUAUCCUACCUUGAGACUCACACGCAGCUCUCAGCUCUGGCACAUGGUGCAGGGUAGUGGUGAUGGCAGGUACAAUUCUGAAAGUGGUGUUGGCAGGUAAGAGGUGGGUGUUUGAGGGACAGAGUUUACCAGAUUCUGAGAAGAAGGCAGGGCCCUUCUAUCUGACCCUGAGUUAUACACAUGAUAGGAUGUGGAUUCAUAGAGUGUUUUGUACUAAUGUUUGCAUUUUACUUCCACCUAAGUAACUUUCUAGCCCCCAGGGGACGGGCAAAGGAAGAAAAGGUGAAGAUGAAUGACCAGACAUGUGGGUUGCCCUGCUCAGCUGUGUCAGAACGGCUUGAUCCUCAGCCCCGCACAGGACCACUCUCUGGCAUGCACCAGCGGAGAAACUGGAGGCACACUGGCGCAGGAGCAGCCCCAGGCUUGAGGGCUUUUCCAGCCCUGUCUGUUUACCCACGUGAUGGUUUGCUACGGUUUUUAAUAGCUGGUAAAGUGAACACCCAGUUCAUUCUCCUCAUUAUCUCCUGGAUUCCCGCCUACCGCCAUCAGUCAGUAUGCCCUACAUUUUUCUUGACGUGAAGCACAGCCUGGAGAAUAUUCCCUGAAACAGCUCUUUAAACGCAAUCCAAAAAAGGCAUCAUGCUGACUUAACCAUGUUAUGAGAAACUUCUGGGAGUGAGACUGCCACUAGCCCCCUCUCUGGAGGAGUUUCACGGCUGUGAAGAAGAUGAAGAAGACCACAAACAAACAUGAUGAAGAACCAUCUUGUCUCCUGGUUUGUUCUCCUAAAAAUACAUUUGUCUUUCCUAAAUAAACCCAUUUGUUCUUCCAGUAGAAGCCUUUUCCUCCCUGCUCCUUUACCCUUAUUAAGGUAGGCUUGUAAAUCCCUGUCUUUAGUUAUGGAUAAAGUCAUUUUCUUUGUGGGUUCCUAGUAU